rnacentral:misc_RNA from 1 species
AACGCACAUUGCGCCCUUUGGCAUUCCGAAGGGCAUGCCCGUUCGAGCGUCAUUACACCACUCAAGCCUGGCUUGGUAUUGGGCGUCGUCUUCAUUGGCGUGCCUUCAAUUCUUCGGCUGGACGGUACGAAUCUCAGCGUUGUGGUUUUAUCAAAUCGCUGGCGAAGAGGACCGGACGUCGCCGUAAAAACUUCAUUACAGGUUGACCUCGGAUCGGGUAGGGAUACCCGCUGAACUUAA